rnacentral:rRNA from 1 species
AUUGAACGCUGGCGGAAUGCUUUACACAUGCAAGUCGAACGGCAGCACGGGGCAACCUGGUGGCGAGUGGCGAACGGGUGAGUAAUACAUCGGAACGUGCCCAAUCGUGGGGGAUAACGUAGCGAAAGUUACGCUAAUACCGCAUACGAUCUGCGGAUGAAAGCGGGGGAUCGCAAGACCUCGCGCGAAUGGAGCGGCCGAUGUCAGAUUAGGUAGUUGGUGGGGUAAAGGCUCACCAAGCCAACGAUCUGUAGCUGGUCUGAGAGGACGACCAGCCACACUGGGACUGAGACACGGCCCAGACUCCUACGGGAGGCAGCAGUGGGGAAUUUUGGACAAUGGGCGCAAGCCUGAUCCAGCCAUUCCGCGUGCAGGAUGAAGGCCUUCGGGUUGUAAACUGCUUUUGUACGGAACGAAACGGUUCUCUCUAAUACAGGGGGCUAAUGACGGUACCGUAAGAAUAAGCACCGGCUAACUACGUGCCAGCAGCCGCUGUAAUAC